rnacentral:rRNA from 1 species
CGGGACGGGUGAGUAACGCGUGGGUAACCUGCCUUGUACAGGGGGAUAACAGUUGGAAACGGCUGCUAAUACCGCAUAAGCGCACGGCAUCGCAUGGUGCAGUGUGAAAACUCCGGUGGUAUAAGAUGGACCCGCGUUGGAUUAGCUAGUUGGUGAGGUAACGGCCCACCAAGGCGACGAUCCAUAGCCGACCUGAGAGGGUGACCGGCCACAUUGGGACUGAGACACGGCCCAG